UGUACAAUCAAAUCACUCCAAUAUUGGAAAUACUCUGGAUAUUUCUUUAUUGUCUACAUAUAGGAGAGGAAGAAAUCGAAGGUCUUGAGACUGCUCUUCAGUCUGGAAUUCCACCAUGGACUCUCCUGUUUCCUGGGCCUUUGUACUCAAGACUGGACCUCUAUCUCUGGCUCUCCUGAGUCUCCAGCUUACUUGACUCAUCCUGCAGAUGUGGAGACUUGACAGUCCUAAUCAUGGAUGCAAAAACUUCCAAUUACAUUCACCUCAGUACAUGUGGGAGCAAAGGGAGGGCUGAAUAUUUAAAUCAAGGCUCCUCUUACAACUUCCUGCUGGACAUUGGAACCCUGUGGAUGUCACUCUCCACAAUACCAAAUGAGAGUAAGGAGCAGCAUCUGGCCUUCUGGCAGAAAAUUCAAACCAUUUUGUUGGUAGCUACAGGAUUAUCCCUUGGAUGGGACAUAUAUCAUCCACAACUUGCCAGUGAGACUCCCAUAUUGCCUUCCCCACAGUGACUGGUUCAGAAGUACAAGUGAACAAGUGAACAAGUGAACAAGUGAACAAGUACAAGUGAACAAAGCUCAUCAGUCAAAGGUAGUGGUCAUCAAUCUUGAAGUUUUGCUUGAACUGCUGGUAGAAAAGCCAAACUGUGGUUGAGUUGGCUAGAUUUUGGAAGAAGCCUAUGUCUGCCAGUGGCCAUUUUGGUCUUGAGGAAAUUUCCUUCCUAAGAAUAAAGACAACACAAAUCAAAGCAGGACCAAGAUAUAGAAGAUGGAGGACUGCAACAUCCCACACCCCACCUUCCUCAGUGUUGGUACAAAGAUUUGACAUUCUCCUCAUUUUCUACUUUCAGUCUCUCUGACCCCGGGUCAACCACAGUGGGAAAGCAGAUCAUCAGAAGGUCAACAGUUGCCUCACACUAUGUCACAGAAACUACGUCAUUCACCUCACCUCACCUCAUAUAGUCUCACAUCAUCACAAGAAGUAGGAGCGGGACUCCUUUGCGGGGCUGACCUUGCAGUGCUGUCCUAGAGGGAGCUACAAUGGUCUUGUGGACUGACUUCCUUCAGAAGGGACUUUUAAAAGAGACAAUGGAGCUAGCAUGCCUCCUUUUAGGCUCCGUGGUCCGGGGUUGUGCAUGUCAGCUUUUCUGGAGAGCCAAGGGCAGAAAAGUUCAGGAGCCAUUGUGUCCAGCAGAAAGGAGCAAGUUCUUAGGACAUAGUGAGCUGGCCUCAGCCGCUCCAGAGACCUUCUGCGGCAGUUAGAGGCUCCCCUGCGCACCUGAACUGCAGGUCGGAGGCUGGGGGGUGCAUCCCACUGGGUGCCUUUCACACAUUCCGGCUGCGGGGGCGCCUGGAGCAGAGCAGCUGCGGGGAGCUGCCCAGAUGCCUCCCCAUGUCCCGCCCCCCGGGCGGUCUCCUGACUGCGAAGCCGGGCUUUCAGCAGCCCGGGUAGCCUGAGAAUGAUUUUACCAACGGUUUUUUUUUUUUUUGGUCUCAGUUUUUCAUCUUCCGUAAACCGGUGGGGAAAUAAUGUUGUGCUUCUUUUUGUUUUCACUUCCUUCUUGCAUGAAUUUCAAAGUUCAUCACAGAGAAGAGGUUGCGUGUUGGUGUUGGGAGAAAUGAAAGCAGAGGCAAUAAGAAAAAGUAGGCAAAAGAAUGGCAUUUAGAGGAAGAGUGGUAUCAGUCAGCAUUUCAACAAAUACCUGUUAAAAAAAUCACUCUGGGGAAAUAUGGUAAUGAGAAUUUAAUGUCAAAAUGAUUGUAAUUUUAUGCCUAAAUAUGCUCAACAUGACAAAGAAUUCUCUUAAUCUUAAUUAGGAAUAGGUGGGGGCAUUUUAAUUUUUUUUUCCUUAAACUGCAUAGCUCCUGGAACUAAUUGCCUUCCAAGAGCAAUAGAUAAUAGAAAAACACAAUUGUAUUACGUUCUGGAGAACGUAAAUAGCAUCCCGCUGAUUUCUCAACUCCCUGAACUAGAGCAGCAUCUCAAUCUAGCUGGUAGUAAUUAAAAUUCCAUAUAUCUAUCUAUCUAAAUGGAAGGUUUUACAUUUUAUGUAAUUACUGUACAAUCACCUUACUAUGAAUGAAUUCCAUGUGCAAAUGGCAAAGCAAGCUUCAAGAACUGAUUUGGUUAAGCACCCUUAAAUCUAUUACUCCUGAAUAAAAGUCUCAAUGAAAUUGUAUGCUGCUUAACAUUUUAAGGAGUUUUGUAAAU